CGUAGCUCAACGGAUAGAGCACCAGACUUCGAAUCUGGCGUCUGCGGCUGAACGGUUUGACGAUGCGUGAACAACCAAUCGAGCCGAUUGUCACGAAGCCCAUCCGCUGGCCA
rnacentral:tRNA from 1 species